rnacentral:lncRNA from 1 species
GACAAAUAUUUUCCAUUUUUUGCUUCGUAAUAACAUUGCUUAAACUGAAAUUUUAAUCCAUCUUGUUCCAAAAUUCUUCAAAUUCCUCGGAAUUUUCUAUAAUACGGUGACCGUAAACCCUACUCCCGUUCACCGUAAAAAUGUUCAAGAAGUAAGCGUUUUGUCCACUCUAUGGCACGCACACACCACCGUUUAUUGCAUUCUUAUUUCUAUUAUUAAUCAUGAUUUCCAAUCUGUUCUACAUAAAGUUUGAUUAGUAUUUAUCUGUAUUUCUUGGUUCUUUGUAACUGCCCUUCUUCUUGUAAAUUGGAAACGAUGAUAUGCUUCAUGAGUUCAUGAUCUCCAUAUAUUGCUUAUUUUCUCUUUGAAAGAUGAAAAACCCAUUUCGUAAUUUUGAUAGUAAUCUAUCGUUUUAUUCUAAAUAAAUCGGCGUUCUCUCUUUUGGAUAUUUUAGUGGGUUUUGUUGGCUGCUGGGUAAUGUACGUGUAUGUGUGUAUAAUUGCGUUAUGCAUAUAUUAUGGGUUAUAACUGCUGGGUUUUGUUGGCUGCUGGGUAAUGUACGUGUAUUAUGGUUUUACCUCUUGGAGAAUUUGCUAUUUUGUUGGUCUAUUUACUUUUCCUUGUGUUGAACUAAAAAAAUGAUCCCUGUGGCACAUACAAGAUACUUAUAGAAGGGCUUGAUCUGAACCUUUAUUUGUUACCUUCAUAGAACUUUGAAUAUCUUCACUACGUGAUGAUGUCUACUCAAUAAAAAUUGGCUCCUCCAGUUUUUCCUUAUCAUCUCCUUUGUUGUUUUGUUUAUGUACUCAUUCUAUUCCACUUGACAUUUGGUGUAUUGUUUAAAUCCCAAUUAGUCUCUCCAAACAACUUAUCUAUUGAGGUUCCUUUAUGUCCCACUACUUUGUUGUGCUAUCCUUAACACUCUCUUCCACCUUUAAUUGUACCUUGAAACCAAUUCCUGACUCAAAAGUCUGCGUUGUGAGGUUAAACUCUCUGCAUGGAUAACCUUGCUGUGUCUACUACUAGAUUAAUUUGCCCUCCUUGUCAAGAAAAAUACAUUUGUCCCUUGUUCAACCCAUUUAUAGAUCGUGUACAUCCAUGUUCUUGUAAAGCUGGUCAUUGAAGGUCACAUACCAAAGAGACUUUUAGAAUUGACUUUCUGGCAUCAUUGCAUUCUCCAAAACCAAAUCUCCAAUGUAUCUUAGCAAAGCUCCAUCUCACAGAAUGCCAAUAAAAUCUCUGGCUAAAAAUGUUUUCUCCCAUAAGUAUAUUUUGAACUCAAUCCAUUAUAUCUUCUCAAAUUGUGCAUCCAUACCUUCUCCAAAACCAAAUCUGCAAUUUCUCUUAUCAAAAGCCCCAUCUUGGUGAAUACCAUCCAAAUUUCUGGUUAAAAUUGUUUGUCUCGUAUAGGUAUAUUUGAACUAAAUCCUCCAUGUAUACUAAAAACUGAGCCUAUGAAGCAAUCUCCUAAUCCUAUGUGUUUUUCCAAUGUCUUAGCUAUACUUUAAAGUAGCCUACUCUAUUCUGGUUUUAGAUUUUGAAAUCUGGUCUUUUUGUGGGUGAUGCAUACACAUGUUUGCUAUUUCCUUUUUGGUGAAUUUACUACCACUUAAUAUGUGUAUAUGCAUCAUAAACUUUAUAUACACUUUCUUUAAAGUUUUGAUUCUGCCUGGAAUCUUAUUGAGCUUCAACCCACUGUGCUUGCUAAUAAUUGUUUGACUAUUGUUGAGUGUAUUUGUAUUGAUGUUAGCUACUUAAACUAUUAUUAAUGUAAUUGCAUGCUCGUAUAUGUUUGAGAAUUGUUGACAGUACUGAUUUUUAUGUAAUAGCUACCUAUCUAUUGUCUGCCAAUAAAUGCCUAUAUUAUAAUAACUUAUACAGUGCUUCUACUAUAAAAAUAUUUAGGUUCUCGUCUGAAGAGGUUUCUGCACAAAAUCAGGUGAAAGCAUCUGUGCAUAGGAAAAUCCGGCAAAGUAUUGCAGAAGAGGUUUUGUAAUGUUGCUGUUUCUCUUUUCUUCAAUAAUUGUUAAAUGUGAAUAAUUUCUUCUGCAAUCAGUUUAGAUUUAACUAAAGGUAAAGUUUCUCUUCAUUGAAGUACCCAGGACUUGAACCUGUGUUGGAUGAUUUGCUCCCAAAGAAGUCCCCA